UGUAAGCGUAUACCAAAGUUGUUGCAGUUAAAACGCUCGUAGUCGGAAUUUGGCAGUUCCGGAUGUGUGCACGUCGUGUGCGCACUUCGCGGGGAUUGCUUUUGUGGUCUUGCGUAGGAUGAGGCACUUUUAUUAGUGAACGUCCUCACGCAACCACUUCUUACUGUGAGAAAAUCAGGGUGCUCAAAGCAGGCAUUUGCCGUGAAUGUAUUAGCAUGGAAUAAUAGAAUAGGACUUGGUUCUAUUUUGUUGGUUUGUUGGGACUGAGUAAUGAUUAAGAGGGACAGUUGGGGGCAUUUGUAUUUCGGUGCUAGAGGUGAAAUUCUUAGAUUACCGAAAGACAAACUGCUGCGAAAGCGUCUGCCAAGGAUGUUUUCAUUGA
rnacentral:rRNA from 1 species